GGUCACGUGGCUUAGCUGGUAGAGCUUGGGUUGUACAACCGCGUAAGCCACUUCUAUGCGUGGGUUCGAAUCCUACCGAGACUA
rnacentral:tRNA from 1 species